rnacentral:tRNA from 1 species
CAGGGAAUAAAUCAAUAGGUAGAUUAUCUGCUUUGGGAGCGGGAGGUUAUGGGUUCAAAUCCCGUUUUCUUGA